rnacentral:rRNA from 1 species
GCGACGUCAAAGCGUUCAUUAAAGUCGAGUUGGCUUAGGGAUACGUUCGUUGGGUAGGGGAGCGUUCUGUAAGCCGUUGAAGGUGGCCUGUGAGGGUUGCUGGAGGUAUCAGAAGUGCGAAUGCUGACAUAAGUAACGAUAAAGCGGGUGAAAAGCCCGCUCGCCGGAAGACCAAGGGUUCCUGUCCAACGUUAAUCGGGGCAGGGUGAGUCGACCCCUAAGGCGAGGCCGAAAGGCGUAGUCGAUGGGAAACGGGUUAAUAUUCCCGUACUUGGUGUUACUGCGAAGGGGGGACGGAGAAGGCUAUGUUGGCCGGGCGACGGUUGUCCCGGUUUAAGCGUGUAGGUGUGUGUUCCAGGUAAAUCCGGUUCACUUUAACACUGAGGCGUGACGACGAGGCACUACGGUGCUGAAGCAACAAAUGCCCUGCUUCCAGGAAAAGCCUCUAAGCAUCAGGUAACAUCAAAUCGUACCCCAAACCGACACAGGUGGUCAGGUAGAGAAUACCAAGGCGCUUGAGAGAACUCGGGUGAAGGAACUAGGCAAAAUGGUGCCGUAACUUCGGGAGAAGGCACGCUGACACGUAGGUGAAGUGAUUUACUCAUGGAGCUGAAGUCAGUCGAAGAUACCAGCUGGCUGCAACUGUUUAUUAAAAACACAGCACUGUGCAAACACGAAAGUGGACGUAUACGGUGUGACGCCUGCCCGGUGCCGGAAGGUUAAUUGAUGGGGUCAGCGCAAGCGAAGCUCCUGAUCGAAGCCCCGGUAAACGGCGGCCGUAACUAUAACGGUCCUAAGGUAGCGAAAUUCCUUGUCGGGUAAGUUCCGACCUGCACGAAUGGCGUAAUGAUGGCCAGGCUGUCUCCACCCGAGACUCAGUGAAAUUGAACUCGCUGUGAAGAUGCAGUGUACCCGCGGCAAGACGGAAAGACCCCGUGAACCUUUACUAUAGCUUGACACUGAACAUUGAGCCUUGAUGUGUAGGAUAGGUGGGAGGCUUUGAAGCGUGG